UACGUAGGGGGCAAGCGUUGUCCGGAAUCAUUGGGCGUAAAGAGCGCGUAGGCGGCCCUGUAAGUCCGCUGUGAAAGUCAAGGGCUCAACCCUUGGAUGCCGGUGGAUACUGCAGGGCUAGAGUCCGGAAGAGGCGAGUGGAAUUCCUGGUGUAGCGGUGAAAUGCGCAGAUAUCAGGAGGAACACCGGUGGCGAAGGCGGGUCUCUGGGCCGAAACUGACGCUGAGGAGCGAAAGCGUGGGGAGCAAACAGG
rnacentral:rRNA from 1 species